CCCGGGCCGGAGCGUCCGCUGGGCACGCCAGCACCGCGAGCGCAGCACCCCGUUGUGAGGACUGAACACAGGAGAGGAACGCUCACCUCAGAUUCCAGAGCCCAUCUCAGCAUCUGCUAACUGCCUGUUUCAAAGAAAAAAUGGCAGCCAAACAGCCUCCUCCGCUCAUGAAGAAGCACAGCCAGACAGAUCUUGUGAGCCGCCUGAAGACCAGAAAGAUCCUGGGCGUGGGCGGGGAGGAUGAUGAUGGGGAAGUGCACCGGUCAAAGAUCAGCCAGGUUUUGGGCAACGAGAUAAAGUUUGCCGUGCGGGAGCCUCUGGGGCUCAGGGUCUGGCAGUUUCUCUCUGCUAUGCUGUUCUCCAGUGU
rnacentral:lncRNA from 1 species